UGGGUUAUACCUGCUGACAUGUCCCUCAGGAAAACUAAUAUGUUCAAAUCAGACUGGAGACAGAUGAUUACAGUUUAUUUUCUGUGCCAGUGACAACAGAAACAGGCCAGCUUUGUCAAAGGGGUAAAGUUCUAUGGUCCUGCUCCCUGUCUUAAUGAAAUGUGUGCCUUUUCAGAGGGUCAUUUCUAUUAUUUAUAAGUUCCCAGCAAAGCUGGGCCUACGGUAAGGCAAGUAGGGACACAAAAUUUAAGAGAACUCAUUCUCUGGGUCAAGCAAGUGCCGACUCUAUACUUGCCCCUCCCUGGGAGUGAGUACACCCUUGAAUUUUGCAUGCUUGGUAUCUUGCUUGCCUUACCCUAACCCAGGUCCUAGCAUCAGCACAGGAACCCACCAAUGAAAGAGGGUAGGAGUCGCUUGGAGGAGUGGCUGCCCCCAGAGAGUACAAGAGAAGCCUCCAAGAGUCUGGUGAUAAACUUCUCUAAACUACAACCAAGAGAAACCAAUAUAUGGAAAUACAUAAGGACCAGAUAAUACAAUUGCCCCAGCAUUUAGAAACCAUGCCAUACACUCCAUGGUUCAGGCCCCCAUCCUUCCAUUAUCCCAAAAUCUGCGUCACAAGGGAAGAAGAGGGCAAGAAGGGAGAGUUAGUAGGGCCGUGUGUCUCUGCAGGUUGUCUUACCUCCUCCCCAUUUCUAAGCUCCAACAUAACACAGAGGAAGGCGUGAGGGCAGGACAAAGGGCUUUCCAGCCUGCACAGCUUCUAUCAUCCUGUCAUUCUAUCAUGUUAGAAGCCCCGGUCUGAUGCAGCACCUAGUCACAGGUGAGAAUUGCUAUGCAAUCAAAUGUGCUUCAUGAACUCAGGAAAUGAUCAGACAUGAGUCAGGUUAGAUGGUAACUCUUUCUACGUCAACCCCACGUAGAUUGGUUACUCUAGCUCUGCCACUGAAAGGAACGAAAGAAAUGUUUCAGGAUUCACAUGAUCCAGGUUGCAUUUAUAGCAAAUGAAGUCAACAGGGUACAAGCAAACACCCAGGGAGAGCCUGAACACCCUCCGUAGUGCAAACCAACAGAGCAGAAAUCAGACGCUGAGUGCUGGAGAGCCCGGUAAUAAUCACAUCUAUGGAGGGUGCCCUGGGAAAAUUGAGUCAGGGUUCCACUGUGUACCAAGAAACACAGUGUCCCCAGAAGCAGUGAGACUGGAACUCCUUUCACCACUUGCCAACUCACGGGACUGGAAACCCACCUCCCCCAGCUCCAAAACACUGGUUCCCAGGAGAGGGAAUGAGACAGAAGCCAAGAUAAUUGUGAGGGUCAAAAACAGUUUCCACAGGGGGCAAAAGGUGGAGGAGAUUUAGCUGCCUCCUCGCACUGUCACUGCAAAUGCUUACACAAACAGGCAGACAAUCCUGAUCACCUUCUUUCUGGAAUUCCCUAGACUCCAGAGAUUGGCCCUCUCUGUUGCCACCCUCUACAGCUUCCAAGCAAGGUCUUUACCAGAUCCACUGAGAAAGAGAUGGAAAACAGACAUCACUUACCAGCUAUGUGACCCCAAGCAAGUCACUUUCUGAGCUUCCAUUUUACCAUCUACAAAAAUAAAAAA
ensembl:lncRNA